AUGGAACGCUGGCGGAAUGCUUUACACAUGCAAGUCGAACGGCAGCACGGACUUCGGUCUGGUGGCGAGUGGCGAACGGGUGAGUAAUGUAUCGGAACGUGCCCAGUCGUGGGGGAUAACGUAGUGAAAAUUACGCUAAUACCGCAUACGAUCUAUGGAUGAAAGCGGGGGAUCGCAAGACCUCGCGCGAUUGGAGCGGCCGAUAUCAGAUUAGGUAGUUGGUGGGGUAAAGGCCCACCAAGCCAACGAUCUGUGGCUGGUCUGAGAGGACGACCAGCGACACUGGAACUGAGACACGGUCCAGACUCCUACGGGAGGCAGCAGUGGGGAAUUUUGGACAAUGGGCGAAAGCCUGAUCCAGCCAUUACGCGUGCAGGAUGAAGGCCCUCGGGUUGUAAACUGCUUUUGUACAGAACGAAAAGGUUUCUACUAAUACUAGGAGCUCAUGACGGUACUGUAAGAAUAAGCACCGGCUAACUACGUGCCAGCAGCCGCCGCCG
rnacentral:rRNA from 1 species